CAGUAGCCACGGUAAUACAGAGGGUGCAAGCGUUAAUCGGAAUUACUGGGCGUAAAGCGCGCGUAGGUGGUUCGCCAAGUUGGAUGUGAAAUCCCCGGGCUCAACCUGGGAACUGCAUCCAAAACUGGCGAGCUAGAGUAUGGUAGAGGGUGGUGGAAUUUCCUGUGUAGCGGUGAAAUGCGUAGAUAUAGGAAGGAACAUCAGUGGCGAAGGCGACCACCUGGACUGAUACUGACACUGAGGUGCGAAAGCGUGGGGAGCAAACAGGAUUAGAUACCCCCGUAGUCCCUGUCUCUUAUAA
rnacentral:rRNA from 1 species